rnacentral:rRNA from 1 species
GACUUGAUGGAGUGCUUGCACUCUGAGAGUUAGCGGCGGACGGGUGAGUAACACGUAGGCAACCUGCCCUCGAGACUGGGAUAACUACCGGAAACGGUAGCUAAUACCGGAUAAUUUAUCUCAGCAGCAUUGUGGAAUAAUGAAAGACGGAGCAAUCUGUCACUUGGGGAUGGGCCUGCGGCGCAUUAGCUAGUUGGUGGGGUAAUGGCUCACCAAGGCGACGAUGCGUAGCCGACCUGAGAGGGUGAACGGCCACACUGGGACUGAGACACGGCCCAG